rnacentral:rRNA from 1 species
UACGUAGGGUGCAAGCGUUAAUCGGAAUUACUGGGCGUAAAGCGUGCGCAGGCGGUUUUGUAAGACUGUCGUGAAAUCCCCGGGCUCAACCUGGGAAUGGCGAUGGUGACUGCAAGGCUAGAGUUUGGCAGAGGGGGGUAGAAUUCCACGUGUAGCAGUGAAAUGCGUAGAUAUGUGGAGGAACACCGAUGGCGAAGGCAGCCCCCUGGGUCAAAACUGACGCUCAUGACACGAAAGCGUGGGGAGCAAACAGG